GACGAACGCUGGCGGUGUGCUUCACACAUGCAAGUCGAACGAGGUAGCAAUACCUAGUGGCGGACGGGUGAGUAACGCGUGGGAAUCUGCCCAUAGGUGGGGGAUAACUAGCCGAAAGGUUAGCUAAUACCGCAUACGCCGAAAGGUAAAAGGAGUAAUCCGCCUUUGGAUGAGCCCGCGUCCGAUUAGCUAGUUGGUAGAGUAAAAAGCCUACCAAGGCGACGAUCGGUAGCUGGUCUGAGAGGAUGAUCAGCCACAAUGGGACUGAGACACGGCCCAUACUCCUACGGGAGGCAGCAGUGGGGAAUUUUACGCAAUGGGGGAAACCCUGACGUAGCGACACCGCGUGAAUGAAGAAGCCCUUUGGGGUGUAAAAAUUUCUGUCGGCUGGGAAGAAAAAAUGACGGCACCAGCAAAGGAAGCAUCGGCUAACUACGUGCCAGCAGCCGCGGUAAU
rnacentral:rRNA from 1 species